UCUUGACAUCCACAGAACUUAGCAGAGAUGCUUUGGUGCCUUCGGGAACUGUGAGACAGGUGCUGCAUGGCUGUCGUCAGCUCGUGUUGUGAAAUGUUGGGUUAAGUCCCGCAACGAGCGCAACCCUUAUCCUUUGUUGCCAGCGGUUAGGCCGGGAACUCAAAGGAGACUGCCAGUGAUAAACUGGAGGAAGGUGGGGAUGACGUCAAGUCAUCAUGGCCCUUACGACCAGGGCUACACACGUGCUACAAUGGCGCAUACAAAGAGAAGCGACCUCGCGAGAGCAAGCGGACCUCAUAAAGUGCGUCGUAGUCCGGAUUGGAGUCUGCAACUCGACUCCAUGAAGUCGGAAUCGCUAGUAAUCGUAGAUCAGAAUGCUACGGUGAAUACGUUCCCGGGCCUUGUACACACCGCCCGUCACACCAUGGGAGUGGGUUGCAAAAGAAGUAGGUAGCUUAACCUUC
rnacentral:rRNA from 1 species